ACCCUGGCCACUGAAGUGGUGAGAGCACUGAACUUUAACCAUUAGGCCAUCAGGGCUGGCUCCAGAGUCGACUUUUUUAUUGCUUGCAAGCAAUAGAACUGGGUAAGAAGGAGAUAACAGCAUGAGAAGGCAAGAUUAGAAGACAAAUAAAGCCACACAGCAAUUUUACUCCAGAUUCAGGCUUGUUUUCUCAGGAAAGUAGAAGAGCUAUCACUAGGAUGUGCACUUUUGGAGUGAAUUAGAGCUAAGGGUGGCCCACAGGGCCUCCAGACUGGAAGAGAGAGGCUCACGCACAGAGAACCUCUCUAACAUCUUACCCUAAAGUACUCUGUCAUCCUACACAGAGCUCUUGGCAGUCUUCCUUUUGACUUAUGCUUAUCUAGGAAUGGACAACCAAGAAGAGAAGUUAUUGAGGAAAGUCCAUAAUACAUCAGAGAACAUACAAGAUAAACCAAGAGGAAAAUAUGACCUCAGAGUACAUGGGGAAAAGAGACACCACUGCUCUUAGGUCUGGAAGAUGUGAGCAAACACUCAGCUUCCGGUAACUCACCACCAUAGUCACCGCAACCCAGUAACACACAUUCAAAUAUGGAGUCUGUUUUGGCACAACUGAUAGAAACAAUUUUGUUAUCCGAAGAUUAGAUGGUGAAGGAAAAGAAAUGCCAUUUAAAUUGGAUCCACCUACAACAGGAACCAAAACUUCAAGGUUUGAUGGUGACCCCAUCUUCACAACCAAACUAAAUAUUACAAAAAAUUCAAAAUAAUGUAGGAUGGACUUCCACUUCCAGCCAAGAUGGAGUAACAGAGGCCAGAUUUACCUCCCUGCCUGAAACCUCCUCUCCUCUGAAAAAUACAAAAUAUAUGAAGCAAUGGUUUUUAAAGCAGUAGACAUGAGGCAACAAAGGACAGUCUUCCCUGUGAGACGGAGAAAAAAGGAGGAGGCUUGGACUCAGUUUCCACAAUAGCUCCUUGUGGAAAGCAGAAGAAGAGGGGACCCUGUGGAUCACUUCCUGCUGUUGGCGAGAGUUUGUGUGAAGGUUGGAGAAGUUUUAGGAUGCUGCCCUCACUGGUUCCAUCCCAACACACCUUGUUUUGAAGGCCAGAGAUUGUGAUCUUGAUGAAGCGGCAACCAAACAGCAGCCCUGACACCAAUACCUGUGCUCUUGCAUCAAAGUCUUACUUAAUGAGACCAGCUCGUGUGUCGCAACGGCUGUUUUGAAUCAUUUCUGCAGACAAGAUGAAGUCGUUACAAAUAGGCAUCGCAUCUUUUUCAAAUUAUUAAUUUGAAAAGCUAAAAAUGGCCCCUAGCUGAUUGGAAGCAGAAGCAUUCAGAAAGUUGCAACGGCUGUUGGAGUUUUUGCAAAAGUAACACUUGAAUCUGUCUCUGAGAGAUUCAGGAUCUGUAGGAGAAAUAAAGCUUUACAUAACCGGUGUGCUCUCAGUAAAUGGACCUUGCACAAGAGAAAAGACACUCUCAGCGGGAACACAAACAGUAGGUAUGUUAGCAUUUCAAGCCUUUAACUUUUCAAUGAUCCCUUCAAUCUCUGAGCCACAAUUUCAAGAUUUUUCCACUGUUCUUUUACUUUUAUCCUGUAAACUUUUAGGCUAUUACAUCCAUCCUAUGAAUCUGCCAAGGAGUACCCCCGACACAUGUACAUCCUAUCGUGUGUAUCAUAAAUAUACGGCAAUUUGCAAUUUUCCCUGAUUUGAACCUCAGGAUUCUGACUUUAAGUCUCUGUUUCUCCAUAUCUGAAUCCCCAGCAUCCUUCCUCCUUCAUUCACACCCUCCAUCCCAAAAUAAAAGUAACUAAGAGAUGGAGAGACUUCGCAAUGAAGAGAUGAGAUGAGUUGAGUUAAUAGCAUAUUAACUGGAACGUUAAAUGAAAGAGACUCCUUUAAUAACUAAGUCCAUCUUCCAUAAAAGCGAAGUCUGACAGUCUUGAUGAGAAAAAAUGUCAUCUUGUUCAUGAAUGGUUUAGUAUCUUACCUGUGUCUGAAACCUCUAUACGCUCAAAGAAAAUAGAUGGAUUCUCUUUAAAGAAAGAAAUGAGAUGACAAUUUAGAUGGUGUCAUUGACUGACCUCCAGGAGAGAUCAAGAAUUGAUUACCAAACAUCAUUUGAUAGGUACAUAAUGCAUUGCCUGGGAAGAAAGAAAAUCAAAUGAAAUAUCCUAAUAAUGUCCUGGACUGGCCAAGAAUGGAGCGGAGAAGAGAGAAGGGGAAGAUACAGCUGACCUCACGUGUAAGUCUGUGUAGUCUUUUCAAUUUUCAUUAAACUGCUGAGGAAGAUAAGGAAUAUCAAGAGCUCUUUAAAAAAAACAUUUUAUUUCACACCUAUUAAGAGCAGCUGUGGUUAUAGAAGGCCAAUUCAACACAAUGAGAAUGGUGCUUCCUUUAAAAAUCACUUUUUGUCCAAUUCCUAUAUGUUCCAUUGUUAUCUUAAGUCUUCACAUCUUUUGAUUGCUUUGUGUCUUGGCUAUCUCAUUUUAAUACCAGAUUCUCAGUUCUGUCUUCAGGUUUCUAAAAUCCACCCGGGCCUUUGCCACUUUCUUGGCAGCAAGUCCUUUUUUUAUCUGAAAUUUCAUAAAAGAGAGUGUUCCAGGGCCCAUCAGGUGUAGCCAGCUGUUUGCUGAGCUACUUCAAAUGGAAAAUGGAUCCCAAAGCACCAAGAUAUGUUUUCACUUUUAAAAAAUUUUUUUCUAGGAAAAAGGAAACAAAAGGGAGAGCUAAAAGGAACGUGUGUGGGUUUCUGUGUUUGUGAGCGUGUGGAUAUGUGAGUGUGAGUACUGAGAAAGAAAACGUGGACAGGAAAUCAUUUUCCAAGUUCAGGAUAAAUGUUCAGCAUAUAUUGAUAACAAGUUCUACUGCCCCCAAAUAUUUAAAAACUAUAGAAUAGCAAGUCUACAGGAAACUUUCUAGAAGCCAUUGCAUGAAUCAGACUUGACUUUGGUCAUCCGAAGUCUUACAAGAUGAACUGGGAAAAGUUACUGUUGCUAAGGGAAAAAAGUUUAAAUAAAGAAGUGCUCAAGUUAGAAGUUAGCGACUAUCAUGAUGUGCUUCAUUAGCCAUCAGAAGCUUAAACAGCAGUCUUUCCAUCUUCCGGUUGUGGCUGGCCCGUGGCUUUGAGCCAGCCUUUCAGGCCUCAGCCUCAGAUUCCUAAUCCGUAAAUUGUAUUUCCCAAUCGCCAGCUUCCUCGAGUCCUCUCUGUCCUGAACAGUAGUAACUAUGGUUUGACGCCCUCCUUCCCAUCCCCCUCUCUUCUUGAAGUCCAUGGGGGAUAAUUUAGAUCUUUAAUGAUUUGCACUGUUGUUUCGGGAUGGAAAACAGUACAUUCUGUGAUCUUUCCAAUUCUUUUAGGGUGUGACAAUUCAAAGCACAAAAAACAGAACAGGUAGUGUACUGUCACAAAGAGCACAAGGUAAGACAGCCAAAUCCAGACACAAUCCAGAAUGCUCUAGUGUCCUAUCUCCUGCCGUCUAACAACGAAAGUUCUGCGUAACCACAGCCACUGCUAAUUUUCUUUCUUCUUUAGCUCUCCCAGAAGGAAAAUAAGCAUUUGGAAAUACAACAAAUCAAGAAAUAAAGUAAGAUGGAAUUAGAGAUGAUUUUUAUUUUCCUCUUUUACUUUUCUGUGUUUUUCGAGUUCUCUAUAACUAACAUACACUACUGUUGAAACCAGAGUAAAAAUGAGAAAUCAGAGACAGAAUAAGAUAUUAAUCAAAGCACGAGAGUCAGAAUUGUUCUUAAUCUCAGUGUACGGUUGGGUUUCAGAAAUCUGGGAAGAUGUUAAUAAGCAAGCGUUUCUUUCUAAAAAUGAUUGCUCUGAAAAUGAGAACAUACGAUUCUAUGUGGAAAAGAUGGCAUUUGAUAAGUUGGGUAUUUUUUGGUUUUUUGUCUUUGGGUGUUUCCAAUUUCUUUUCACAUAAUAUAUUCUGUUCUGUUCCACUUGAUAGAAGACGUGGAGUCCAAAAUCAUAAUUUUUUUGUUUUGGUGUACAUUGCUCCUGUAUUACCACUUGAUAUAUUCUCUAUCUAGCUAUAUUUAUUUAUUUGUCAGUUUCUUCCUCCACUGGAAUGUUCCAUCCAUGAGGCCAGGGGUAAUGUCUCUUUUGCUGUCCACCAUAUCUCAGAAGGCUGAAACAGUGCAUAGCACAAAGCCCUACGUCCCAAAUCGCCCUUGUCCAGCUUUUGAGUCAAAAGUGGGGACAUUGUGCUCAGUGCAGAAAGGAAUCACAGAGAAGAGGAAGCCAAGGGAAUCCUGGAAUUGAGGGCAUUCCACAACAAAUCUUCCAUUUCACCCAGAUGUCACCAUUCUACGAGGCGCCGAAGUAUUUUCCCAAUCAGAAUGGUUCUGACGAUCCCUCCAUCAGUGGUGUUUACAGUUUUUCUUUGUUUUUAGUGUCUUGUCUGUGACUUUUAUGCCAUCACAGAAUAAACAGAACUGUGAAUUAUGCUUUAUCAUGAACAAAGCUGAUUUCUUGUUUUGUGUUAUUAUGGGCAGUUAUAAUUUUUUUUCUUUUCUGGGACAUUGACAUACAAUAAUGUUUAGUAUAUGCUCUUGGUGCCCUGCCAGAUCUCUUACUGGCGCACCCAUCCCCCAACUGCUGUACAAAUUGGCUGCUAACAGCUCACAGCUGCACCCUUCCCGGCUCCAGAGAUUUGCCGAUGGCCAGCUGGACGGCGGAGCUCAGGGAUCCUGGGGGGUUCUGCACUACCCCUCCCGGGCAGGCUGACAGCAAAGACUGACUAAUACCUUCAUACUCACACCCAGCCCCCUCUCCUCAAAAUGGAACAACCAUUCACACUCCAGAGCCUCCCGUGGGAUCAGGCUGAGGGAAGACGACAACGGAACCCACAUCUUUGCCUCGCCUCUUUCCUGCCCUGUACUGCUUCCUUCUCCCUCAGAGGUUUCAUCUGAGAACAAGUCCCUCAAUAAAUCUGUUGCUC